rnacentral:rRNA from 1 species
UACAGAGGGGGCAAGCGUUGUUCGGAAUUACUGGGCGUAAAGGGCGCGUAGGCGGCCUUCUAAGUCGAACGUGAAAUCUCCGGGCUCAACCCGGAAACUGCAUUGCGAACUGACCUAGCUGGAGUGCAGGAGAGGGCAGCGGAAUUCCCGGUGUAGCGGUGAAAUGCGUAGAUAUCAGGAGGAACACCGGUGGCGAAGGCGGGUCUCUGGGCCGAUACUGACGCUGAGGAGCGAAAGCGUGGGGAGCGAACAGG